rnacentral:rRNA from 1 species
AAACGAUGAUUACUCGAUGUUGGCGAUACACAGUCAGCGUCUGAACGAAAGUAUUAAGUAAUCCACCUGGGGAGUACGUUCGCAAGGAUGAAACUCAAAGGAAUUGACGGGGGCCCGCACAAGCGGAGGAGCAUGUGGUUUAAUUCGAUGAUACGCGAGGAACCUUACCUAGACUUAAAUGUAGAUUGACCGACGGGGAAACCUGUUUUUCAGCAAUGACAAUUUACAAGGUGCUGCAUGGUUGUCGUCAGCUCGUGCCGUGAGGUGUCAGGUUAAGUCCUAUAACGAGCGCAACCCCUAUUCUUAGUUGCCAGCAUGUAAUGAUGGGGACUCUAAGGAAACUGCCUACGCAAGUAGAGAGGAAGGUGGGGAUGACGUCAAAUCAGCACGGCCCUUACGUCUAGGGCUACACACGUGCUACAAUGGUAGGUACAGAGGGCAGCUACACGGUGACGUGAUGCCAAUCUCCAAAGCCUAUCUCAGUUCGGAUCGGAGUCUGCAACCCGACUUCGUGAAGUUGGAUUCGCUAGUAAUCGCAUAUCAGCCAUGAUGCGGUGAAUACGUUCCCGGGCCUUGUACACACCGCCCGUCAAGCCAUGGGAGCUUGGAGUACCUGAAGUCCGUAACCGCAAGGAGCGGCCUAGGGUAAGACGAGUGACUGGGGCUAAGUCGUAAUCAAGGUAACCGUA